GUGACACAACUUUUAGCAUUCGUGAGCUUCAGUGAUGAAUUUGUGUGAAUGUUCAAAUGCUAAUAUAUGAAAACUGAGGCACGGAGGGGCCAAAUAAAUUGCUCAAGGACCCACAGCUAAUAAGUAGGGUGGUAAAGGCUCUGCUGUAACGGGUCCCAGGGUUCCUCACUGUACCCCGUGUUCUUCUUCCAAAACCUUCUUCACACCUCCUCAAAUUAUCCUAAAGUUCGAGUGUCACCUGUUUCCUGCUGGGACCUGACUG